rnacentral:lncRNA from 1 species
GAUGCUUUUCCUUGAGCACAGCUACUGGGGAGCAGCAGAAGCAUUUCGUGUUUCCCUGGGCAAAAAUGGAAAUAAGCAGGAUCUCUCCCAUCUCUUGCCUUUUCAUCCUCCUACUCCCCGACUGCCUCUGCUGUGGCUCCAUUGAUCUGUGGUGAAGAUGCUCCACAUUUACACCCCUGUCCAGAAGGAGAGAAUUUGAUUUGAGAUUCCUGACUGCGUGGAACCCAACCACUUGGCUGCUGCAGACAUUCCUGUUUGCUGGACACACACAAAAACAAACUUGGAGCAUUUGCUUUGCAAUGGUCUCGGAUGGACAGUGGUUACUGGGGAUACCUGUGUGUGUUUGAAAACAAAGGUCAAGAAUGCCUGCAGGGACACAGCAGAGACAGUGCCUGAGUCACCCCAGGGGCUGGAUCCAGCCUGGCCCACAGCAGCUCCCAGGAAAGGUGACUUCUGCAGAAUAAAAGGGGCUGCAAGGCCAUCAAAGUGAAGCUUGUGGAAUGAGUUCUGAUUUCAGGGGCAAUUUAACCUGUGAGCUUUGAGCUGAUGGUGCACACACCAGUAAAAUAAUUUUAUUAAUAUCACCAUUAUCACCAAGGUGAGUCUAAGAUAACCACUGCAACAUCUUUCAGUCCAUGGAAAACAUUCUCCUCAAUGUUUUGUGCUUUUUCUAGUCUGUCCUUUGAAACAAAACUCUUAUGGGAACAGCUGUUGUAGAGCAGAGGUCUGUGCUAAUAAGGGGUAGAAUGGAGCUAUUUAAGUACAUUGGAUUCCAAAGAAAUAUUAACAUGGAACUGCUGAGAAACCAGUAUUUAUCAGUUCCUUCAUGAAUCCCCACCUUUAAAAAUGAUCUAAAAUAGACAUUUAAUUAUGCCUCUCUGCAUAUAUUCUAUCAAUUUCUUCAUGUCAAAUCCCUCCAUGUUACUCACUCUGUGGUUUUAAAGCUUCAGUCAAAAUAUCAAUGUUAAUUGGCAAUUUAAUUUUUUUAAAUUCAUAAGUCCCUGUUAAAUCUUUUAUUCUGCCAUCAGACAUGGACACUGCUGCACAAAAUGCUACAUAUAAAACAGUCUUGGCUCCAAAGAUAUAAUAUAUAAUAACAUAUAGGAAACAGUCUCUGCUCCAAAGAAAUAAUCCUAUGAACCAUAUUAUUAGCAAAAGAACAUCAAUAUUUUAACUGAUUUCCAGAGAUGUCAUUUUAAGCACAAAUAUUUCCCAGAAGCUGCAAAAGAAACUCAAACAGCAGAGUCUGAGUGCAAAACACUGAAAUCCUUGCUCAGAGCUCAGGCCCCUCCAUGUUUGGGUGAGGAAGGAUGGAAUAAAGUCCCAAAAAAAUCCA